rnacentral:rRNA from 1 species
UACAGAGGGUGCAAGCGUUAAUCGGAGUUACUGGGCGUAAAGGGCGCGUAGGUGGAUAUUUAAGUGAGAUGUGAAAUCCCUGGGCUUAACCUAGGAACGGCAUCUUAUACUGAAUGACUAGAGUACUGUAGAGGGUAGUGGAAUUUCCGGUGUAGCGGUGAAAUGCGUAGAGAUCGGAAGGAACACCAGUGGCGAAGGCGGCUACCUGGACAGAUACUGACACUGAGGAGCGAAAGCGUGGGUAGCAAACAGG